GAGUUUCACCCUCAUGUGGUGGUUCGGCGUGAGGUGAACUCUAACGUUACCUUAGGAGAUACCCUCCACCCUUCUCGUACCAAGGUAAAAUAUAACAAGGUUUACCGUGCCCUUCUCAUAGGCUGGUCCUCGAAAACCCGCCCACUGCAGUAAGCUAAUCAGAUAACCCACCAAUUCAAUCAAAUUUUCGAUAGCAUGACAUGGCUAAUAUACUAUUACCAGCCUGUCAAGGCAAAGCAAAAUAGUUCAUAUAUUCCACACAAACAAAAUUUCAGCCAUGCUUGCCAUCACAUUGUCAUAAGCCAUCAAUUCAAACCAUAUGUCAAACACGAGUAUAUAACACACGUAUACAGUCUCCACUUACUCAAUUUCCAAAACCAAUAUUCAAUUUCAAAACAAGUUAUAAAUCUCAUUUCGUUCAAUCAACACUUCAAUUAUAAAACAUAAUAGUUUACAAUUUAAAUUCAUUUUUCUUUAAAACAUAAAAACGGGUAUAAACUACUUUAGAUAGUUAAGAUGAUCGUCUGAUUACUCACAUUAAUGGGAGCAUGGAGUACUCUUAUUCUUGGUCCUCGGGUACGAUAUCCUUACUCUUACUAGGGGGCUCACCACCUAUACCUAGUACAUAACAAGUAAUUUAACACAUUUGUAACAAACUAUUAUAAAACUAUUUCAAGCUCUACAUGAAUGCAUGAAAUGGAAUGAGAAGUGUCCAAAUAAUCACUUAAAGACGGUGUUCUACGUAGGUUCAAUUGUGAUCGGAAUAAAUUUGUAUUCGACCUAAUUCGAACUAUACACCAUUGAUUUAACCGAAACAUCCGAUUCAACUCCAAAUAUAUUCAUUACACUUCCAAUACUCCAAUUACACCCAAAGUACCUCAAUGAACUCGAUUUUCUCAUUGUUGUUCAAAUCGUUUACUAAAGGAACCAUACAUUUCCAUAACCGUUUUCAAUGUCUGGCACCACAAUUCACCAAAUACGAGUUAAAUAACAUGAGAUAUAACAAGAUUCAUCAUCAAUAUGUCCUUUAGUAAAUUCGGCCAAGGAGGGUUUGAUGAAGAACAUGUGGUUUUCAUGCUUGUUUUUCACACCGAAUAUCACAAAACAACUAAAAAUGCGUAUAUAGCAUGAAAUCUAACAAAACCCAUGAUCAAAACCUCUCCCCCUAGGUUUGGCCAGCAAACUUUCCUUCAUGAAAUCUUGAGUUUCAACCAUAGAAAAUGAAAAAGAAAACGUGGGAAAGGUAGAUCUUAAGCUAAAAUUAAAAAAUCUUACCUUUACUUGCUUGAUUCCUUGAAAUCCAAUAAUUUCUCUUGAAUUUUUCCUUCCUAGGGUUUGUUCUUCUCUUUUUCUCUUUGUUCCCUUGCUUGGCCGACCAUAUGAGUGAAUUGGGAAAGGUUUAUGUUGGUUUAUAAAGAAAAUUAUAAAAGUAUUAAAGCUUGACACUUGUCAUCACUUGAUUGGUCCAUGGGUAAACUUAACCAUUAAGCAUUCUCUUUUCCACCACAUAUAAUCCCUUACUUAUCCAAGACAUAAAAAUGAUAAUAGGUGAAAUUUAUGAGCUUGACAAGUGUCAUGGUGGUGUAAAAUUUCAAAAAUUUUGACUACGUCCUUAUGGACACUUGAAAUGACCAUUUUGUCCUUAUGCUCGGAAUUGAAAUUUUUUACUUCUCAAAUUCAAAUUAUGUUCCUACUAAUCAAAUUUGGUAAAAAAAAAUCUCUUUCAACAUUCCAAUUUUGCCCUCGAGUGGCAAAAUGAUCAUUUUGCCCCUACAUUAUGAAAAUUCUCGAUUAGACUCCAAAUCAAUCCUCGAACUUUGAAUCACCAUUUUAAAACAUUCUAAGGUUUGAUAACUCUCAAAUACAUUCUAAAAUUUCUAUUUGGACUAGUUCGAGGCUUAAUCGACUUAAUUAUACCACUAAGUACGAUACUGACGUUUUAAAAAUUUUUCGGAGCAUCUAAGUUUGCAGACAUGCUAUCAAGCACUUGAAUAACAUGGCAAGUAUAUAAUAGAGCUGGGCUUGACAGCACUACCCCCCUUAAAAUAAAAUUUUGACGUCAAAAUUUCACUUAUCGGACCAGGAGAAAGGAUGUGGGUAUUGGCUUUUCAUCUGAUGCUCAACUUCCCACGUCAUUUCCUCCAUCUGAGCAAUUUUCCACCCCUCAGGGCAUGGUGGCAUCCAAUUGUACCUAUCAGAACACUCGGCAAGGGGUGCACUUCACCCUCUCGGGGCAGUCCCUUCCCUUCCCUUCCAAGCUCUUAAGCGGAAAGUCAUACUUCGUCACAAAUCAUAUGCGAGAGUUCCUAGGAAUAGGGUUAUCUUUCCCUUUGCUCUGAUAACAAUUGAAUUCUAGGUGUGGCUCCACCCCUCAAGGCAGCCCUUUCCUCCUUUAACGGUGGCAUCCCAUAACCUUUCUCGAUAAUUAUAUUACUAGUUUACCUCUGUCAAACCAAAAGAUUUCUAUACACAUUCAGUCAUUUAAACAGCUACUUUACAUUCCGUUCGAGUCAUACAAAAUAAAAGCCAACUCCUAAUUCCUUUGUACAAGUAACUACUACAUGUUCCCUUUUUACUUUUCUAUUUUAUUCCCAUAGGUCAAGUUUAAUCCAUGAAUAUUAGGGUAUAAUCAACUCUAAAUUACCUUUUUGAAUGUUUGAGUACCAUUUAACUUACCUUCUACCAUAAAUUGUUUCUUAUGUAAUCCAUACGGGUUCUCAUUGUGCCUAUGCAUAACUUCACAUAAUUUACAUGCUUAUACUCUUUUUUUAUCAUUUCCAAUCCUAUGUAUAAGCUCCAUUAUACCACGCAUCCUUGCAUCACAAUGUCAUUAAUCACAUUUCAAUCAUCAAAUAUCAUUUUCACCCAAUCACAAUCCGGUAUCCACAUAUACUUUAACUUUACGAUUUUAUUGAUCCUUUAGAGGUUUUCUUUAAUUCAUCCUUGCAGCUUAUGCAAUAUCACAAUUCCUAAAAGUCAUCUUCGUUUCUCCUUUACCUUGUAUACUUCCAUCAUAUAUGUCCUUAUUCGUUUCCAUAUUAUUUAGUCACUUAAGAUUUAAAUUCAUUGAAGUCGUGUGCAUUUCUUACAUUUUGAAUACUAGUUUCCCAUGUUAGGAAAUUUUUCAUUAACCAACUUCAUUAUCAGGAUUACCUUCAAUCAUCUUGUACUAUUUCUUUACACUAAUAUAUUCGUACGUUCUCUUUAGCGUCUGCACAAUCAACUAUGAUUUUUAUAAACUUAAUAUAGAUUUUACUAAGGUAUCCCUCGACAUCAUCGCCAAUAUCUAAUUUCGAUCUCACAUCGAGCGACCUCAUAACUUAUGCUUUAACCAUUAAACUCUUUGACAAUUCCAAGUUCCACAUUUCCUUAUCAUGUAUAUAAAUAUUUUAAAGUAUUACUAACCAUUAUUCUUAACACUUGCAAUUUGGUCUAUUUGUUUCAAAACUCUUAUACGUCGCCAAUAUAUAAGUCAACAAAGGAAUUUUUCAAUUCAUUCAUAUCAAUAACUUCCAAAACCUUAAAACUCCAAUUAACGAAGCUUAACAUCAAGUCCAAUGACCUUAAUUCAAUUCGUAAGUUCAACUUCCCGUCUUUCACUUCUAAUUCCACAGUCUUUAUAACGGGUGUUUCUAACCAAUUGUUCUCUUAAAGGGGUAUAAACUAUAAUUUUCUCUUCUAAAAGUGAUAGGUUUCUAUCAGAAAAGGAUGCGAAUGUCUCGCUCACAUAAGAUAUAUCCGAACUAGAAUCCAUUAAGACAUAAGCAUCUCUGUCAAAUACAAACAUGGUACCUGUCACUACACUGGGUCAGACUUGUGUCUCUUCCUCUCCCAACUAAUCUAACGAGAGGUGGGAGUCCACUUCAAGGUGACAUAAUAAUUUAUAAGAAGAACUAGAACAACUUUAGACAACUUCAGGUUCUAUAUGCAGAUGCAUGCAUUCAACUCAAUCUAAUCUAACUUGGUGCCACAUUGACACUGUAGUUUUUAAAAUAACUUUAAAACUAAAAGCUCUGAUACCACAUGAAUUGUCACGACCUGACACUUCCCUCGAGCCGAUGACAACCGCCGCGAUGUCUCGAUUGACAUUCCUUACCCGGAAUGGCAAUCGAAACCUCGCAAGGCUUCCGCAUCAGUUUUACUUCUCCCUUGUGAGCAACAGUUAUUAAAUAUCAUGUUUUAAAGGAAUAUAGACUAAUUUCAAAUAAAAAAUAACUAAAAAGUAAUUUCUACUAUACAGGGGUAUUUUGGUCAUUUUACCUAAAAGUUUUGAAACCUGGUAAGAAUAUGAUAUACAAGUAAUAAGCAUCCAUUUCAUGUCUAAAAAUAAGUUUCAUUGUCUAAUUCAUCAAUUUAAAAUGAAGUUAUAGCUAUUCAAAUUAAAUAAAAAUAUUUCAUAAAAUAUUUCAUUUUUUUUAUAAAACAAUAUAUAUAGAACUCUGCGUAAAUAAUUUUUGUAGCGUAAAAGUAAAAUAAAUUUAUACAUACAGUGGCACACGUAGCCAAGUAUACAAAAUAUUCUACAAUGACAUGUGCGUCUCAAAAUAACCAAAAUAAACACAACUGUAAACCUGCGAUUUCUAAAGGUGUGAAUCCAACAGCAAACCCUCGACAAAAUUGGCGGUCUAUAGAUUUUCCUAAGCCUGAAAUGUGUAAAAGGAGGGUGGUGAGUUUUUAUAAACCCAGUGAGUAAGCAAAGUUCAUCUAUAACAUCUAAAGCUGAGUAAAUGGAGACAAUUUAAAAUAUCUCAUCAAAAUAUGAUUCAUAACAUCAAAUCUCAUUUCAUUUCAUAUGAAUCAAUUUCAUUUCGUAAAAUCAACAAAGCUUAUGAUUCCCGUAAAAACUUGGCUCGUGCCAAGAUUUGCACUCGGUGACACCUUGCGCCGGGGCAUCCAACCGAGUUCGUCAAGGCUGUUAAAAUAAUAUAUGAGUAUAAAACUCAUUCUUUUACAUUUAAAAGCAUAGCCGUUCCUUGGCAUUGGCCGAGUUUCACCCUCACGUGGUGGUUCGGCGUGAGGUGAACUCUAACUUUACCUUAGGAGAUACCCUCCGCGCCUCUAGUACCAAGGUAAAAUAUAACGAGGUUUACCAUGCCCCUUUCAUAGGCUGGUCCAUGGAAAUCUGCCCACUAUAGUCAGCUAAUCAGAUAACCCACCAAUUCAAUCAAAUUUUUGACAGCAUGACAUGGCUAAUAUAAUAUUACCAGCUUGUCAAGGCAAAGCAAAACAGUUCAUAUAUUUCACACAAAAAAAUUCCAGUCAUGCUUGCCAUCACGUUGUCAUAAGCCAUCAAUUCAAACCAUAUGUCAAACAUGAGUAUACAACACACAUAUACAGUCUCCACUUACUCAAUUUCCAAAACCAGUAUUCAAUUUCAAAACAAGUUAUAAAU
rnacentral:lncRNA from 1 species